UGCAACUCGAUAAACAAAGUCGAAAUAGAAAAAAUACAAUAAAAUAAAAAGUAAUUAACCUGUCAAGAAAAUUGCAAAUAUUUCAUGAAAUCUAGCCAAGUCAAUGACACUCUCAAAGAGGUCGGGCUUAUCCAGAUUGACAGGAAGAGAAAGAUUAAAUGUAAAUGACCAACAAAUGAUCAGCGCCGUUGUCUUAAACACCAUAUUGGUUACAACUGAUGAAAUGCAGGAUGGCUGAGGGAGCAGCACAGGAGGAGGGAAAAGGAAGAUUAAACCAAGACAGAAAACAGAAAUGGCAAAGGGGAGCAUGUGAUAGCCGAGCGCGGUGCCGGUGGAGCCGAGGCGGCGCACGCCAGGAGAGACAAAGAUAUUGCUUACAAAGGCCUUUGUGAACAUUAACCUGAACGUUACAUUGCGUACUGCAGUGGCACAGAGGUGGAUGAAUCACGGAGACACAAUCACACAAGCCACACACUUAUUAAAGGAUGAGACAGCUUAAAAUUUUCAAAUGAAUUCAUUUCUAAAUGACCAACCCGAAAAAAGAAAAUAAAACUAAACUAUUAAUUUCGUUGUAAAAAAAAAAAAAAAAGUUUAAAUAUUGAUCAGUUCCUAAAGUUAAAUAACAGAGUUUUCUAAAGUCAUGUUUAAGCUUAAAACUGCUACUAACAAACUAAAUUAAAAUGCUUUUGAUUGGACCAAAUCACAGCAAUAUUUUUUUUUAACUUAUACCUAAUUAAUUUGUCCCUCCAAUUUAUUCUAUUAGUCUGUGACUGCUGCAAUAA